rnacentral:piRNA from 2 species
AAAUCGCCUGCCAGAAUGACCGCGUCCCC